UGGGGUAACAAGUCAUGUGGAUAGGCAAGAAUGCAGUAAGGUUUUUUGACACUGCCUCAAAUGGCAUUUUCAUAAGUAUCCAGGGAAUUGUGGUCUGAAUCAUGGGCCUCUAACUUUGCUGGGCUUGAUGAACAAUACUGAAAAAAACCCUGCAUUGCCUUCCUUGUCAGCUUUGUUUUGAAGGUCUCAUGAGCACCCUGCUGCCCAAGAGCCUUGUCUAAGGGACCACUGACUUUCAAUGAGGCUGCUGCAAGAUGCCCUCAGUGCUGCUUGGAAAAUGACAGCCAAGAACCAGAUGUCAGCAGUUUGAUAUUGUCUGAAAGGGUUUAUCAGAGAGAAUCAAACCGCCCUUCAGAGAAUGAUCAGGAGAAAUGAGGGAAAUGCAAGAGGAUGAGAACCAGCUCCCUAACAAAUCCUGCACGGGACAUCAGCAGAAUUUUAGGCAUCUAAUUCCAAACUGGACUGCACUCCUGUUUUGUCCUCUUUGCUUCCACCAGUACCUUGUUUUGCUGUACAACAGAGCCAGUUCUUAUAGUGCUUCCAGCUCACGUCUGCCUGCCUAUUUCCAGAAACUUUGGCCCUUUUCAUAUUAGUAUAGUCCAAGCUUCAGUUGCUUUCCUUUUCACACAGCCUUAGCUUGGUCUUAUUCUUUCUAGCCAAGCAACUGUAGGGGUGGCCCUUCCCUUCAUCCUAAACAUGCUGCAUUCAAAUGGAUACUGAGGUUAUCGGGAAUGAAAAUCCUGUGAGUUUCAGCACAGGCUGUGAACAUCCUGUCACAUUUUCAGAAUUCUUUGUUUAUUUCUUAAAUUAAAAAAUAAAAACAAUUUUUUUUUUAUUUUUUAUUUUUUU
rnacentral:lncRNA from 1 species